GGCCCUGGAGCCCCGCGUGCAGAGCCCCCCACGUGAACGCUGCGAGCAGGAGGAACCUUUUUGUUUUCUAGCGCGCCAGCAUGCUCCCCUAUUGACCGAGCUGCUUUUCCCGGGCCGCUGGAGAGAGUAGCUCGAUCCCGGAUCUCCUAACCCCACCCCCCUUCCACCACCAACACACUACCCAACUCUACCCUUCCUCUCAACUCACUUCCCAGCCCCCAGUACCGGGCUUGCAAUAACGCAGUAAAUUUGCUUUAACAACAAGUGGGGGUGGUUGCAUUUACUCCUCCCUCUCCGCUCUCCUCCCCCUCCUCUUGCUGCGGCUCUUGACACUACUACAAACCAGGACUAUAAACAUAAACAUGUGUCACUGUAACUGGGCAGUAGCUGCAGCAGUGGAAGACCGUGAUUGGCUCCAGUGCUCCUGGAAGGAUUUGGGCUGAAGCCAGGGGAACAGAACCAGAGGAUUCCCUUUCCAGAGACCAUCAGGCUCCACAUGUCUUCUGUUUCCCUUCUCCCCUCUUGGGUGCCCAGAAUUUCUGCAUGGCUUGAGCAGCCUGUAGGCCUCAACACUCAGUGUCAUCACUGCGGUUUCUACACAUUUGACCCUUGUGCAAAAUAAACACGAAUUUGGGCAACACAAAUAAA